rnacentral:rRNA from 1 species
GAGUUUGAUCCUGGCUCAGGACGAACGCUGGCGGCGUGCUUAACACAUGCAAGUCGAACGGAAAGGCCCUGCUUUUGUGGGGUGCUCGAGUGGCGAACGGGUGAGUAACACGUGAGUAACCUGCCCUUGACUUUGGGAUAACUUCAGGAAACUGGGGCUAAUACCGGAUAGGAGCUCCUGCUGCAUGGUGGGGGUUGGAAAGUUUCGGCGGUUGGGGAUGGACUCGCGGCUUAUCAGCUUGUUGGUGGGGUAGUGGCUUACCAAGGCUUUGACGGGUAGCCGGCCUGAGAGGGUGACCGGCCACAUUGGGACUGAGAUACGGCCCAGACUCCUACGGGAGGCAGCAGUGGGGAAUAUUGCACAAUGGGCGGAAGCCUGAUGCAGCAACGCCGCGUGCGGGAUGACGGCCUUCGGGUUGUAAAGUACUUUCAGCGGGGAGGAAGGGAGUAAAGUUAAUACCUUUGCUCAUUGACGUUACCCGCAGAAGAAGCACCGGCUAACUCCGUGCCAGCAGCCGCGGUGAUACGUAGGGUGCGAGCGUUGUCCGGAUUUAUUGGGCGUAAAGGGCUCGUAGGUGGUUGAUCGCGUCGGAAGUGUAAUCUUGGGGCUUAACCCUGAGCGUGCUUUCGAUACGGGUUGACUUGAGGAAGGUAGGGGAGAAUGGAAUUCCUGGUGGAGCGGUGGAAUGCGCAGAUAUCAGGAGGAACACCAGUGGCGAAGGCGGUUCUCUGGGCCUUUCCUGACGCUGAGGAGCGAAAGCGUGGGGAGCGAACAGGCUUAGAUACCCUGGUAGUCCACGCUGUAAACGGUGGGUACUAGGUGUGGGGUCCAUUCCACGGGUUCCGUGCCGUAGCUAACGCUUUAAGUACCCCGCCUGGGGAGUACGGCCGCAAGGCUAAAACUCAAAGGAAUUGACGGGGCCCCGCACAAGCGGCGGAGCAUGCGGAUUAAUUCGAUGCAACGCGUAGAACCUUACCUGGGUUUGACAUGGAUCGGGAGUGCUCAGAGAUGGGUGUGCCUCUUUUGGGGUCGGUUCACAGGUGGUGCAUGGCUGUCGUCAGCUCGUGUU